UGGCCCGGGCGAGCAGCUAUUUCCUUGUCACAUGGUCAUUUGAACGCGACGCGGGGCCGUUGCGUAGCGGAGCGAAAAAAAAAAAAAAAGGGAAAAAAAAAAAAAAAAGCGGAUCUCGUCUCCCCCCGCCGGUAACCGAAACGGUAAUAACACCGAUGUCAACAGAAGUUUCCUUCUUCGGCCGGGGCACGGAGUAACCCUCACAACAAUGCUAAUAAAGAAGAGCCUGUAAUGGUUUCUCCUGGACCGAGUCCGAUUUCAAGCCUGGGAAAUGGGGAGGACUCCAAGACCUGGAGCUGAUGCUGCUGCCAGAAGAAAAGGUGCCUGUGGAAGCUCCCGCAGCUGAGCAGGAUUGUGUUGGGGACCCCAAUCCUCCGACGGGGUCCCAUGUUUACAACCGUCAUGAGAAGAGCCACGGAUGUGCCACGGGCCCAUGCACAGACUUGCACAGCAUCUUACGUGGUUGUAAGAAGGCAUUUGCCAAAGCCGCAAUCGCACCAGGAAGCCUCAGUUCCCCGCUGUCCCGGCCGGUUUUGCCAGGGAGAGGCAGAGACUGGCUUCGGCUCCCCUUGAGUCCCACUUAAUCUGAGUCUGAAAUCAAACGGGGAGCAGUCGGCUCGGGCCCGGGAGAGCCCGGAGCCUUUGCCGCUCCCUUCAGACGGGGGGCUGGGAAGUGCGAGUGGAGAGCCCCGGGGAGGAGGGUGAACAGAAAGCCCAGACGCCGUCCUGUCAAAAUACGAG
rnacentral:lncRNA from 1 species